rnacentral:rRNA from 1 species
CCUACGGGGGGCUGCAGUGGGGAAUAUUGGACAAUGGGGGGAACCCUGAUCCAGCCAUGCCGCGUGUGUGAAGAAGGCCCUCGGGUUGUAAAGCACUUUCAGUGAGGAAGAACGCCUGGUGGUUAAUACCCAUCAGGAAAGACAUCACUCACAGAAGAAGCACCGGCUAACUCCGUGCCAGCAGCCGCGGUAAUACGGAGGGUGCGAGCGUUAAUCGGAAUUACUGGGCGUAAAGCGCGCGUAGGUGGCUUGAUAAGCCGGUUGUGAAAGCCCCGGGCUCAACCUGGGAACGGCAUCCGGAACUGUCACGCUAGAGUGCAGGAGAGGAAGGUAGAAUUCCCGGUGUAGCGGUGAAAUGCGUAGAGAUCGGGAGGAAUACCAGUGGCGAAGGCGGCCUUCUGGACUGACACUGACACUGAGGUGCGAAAGCGUGGGUAGCAAACAGGAUUAGAUACCCCAGUAGUC